CCUACGGGUGGCAGCAGUGGGGAAUAUUGCACAAUGGGGGAAACCCUGAUGCAGCGACGCCGCGUGAGUGAAGAAGUCCUUCGGUAUGUAAAGCUCUAUUAGCAGGGAAGAAAAUGACGGUACCUGAUUAAGAAGCUCCGGCUAACUACGUGCCAGCAGCCGCGGUAAUACGUAGGGGGCAAGCGUUAUCCGGAUUUCCUGGGUGUAAAGGGAGCGUAGACGGUUGCACAAGUCUGGAGUGAAAGGCCGGGGCUUAACCCCGGAACUGCAUUUGAAACUGUGCAGCUUGAGUGCAGUAGAGGUAAGUGGAAUUCGUGGUGUAGCGGUGAAAUGCGUAGAUAUUAGGAGGAACACCAAUGGCGAAGGCAGCUUACUGGACUGUAACUGACGUUGAGGCUCGAAAGCGUGGGGAGCAAACAGGAUUAGAUACCCUAGUAGUC
rnacentral:rRNA from 1 species